CUUGCUUGUUAUAAACAUUAGGAGCAUUUGAUGGUAAGAUGCCAUAUAUCUUGGUAUCUAACAGGUACCCUGGGGUAUGUAAUGAGUGAGGUUGAGGAUGGAAAGCCAUUCAGCCAAGUCGUUAAUGCUGCUAAAAGCCUUGGCUACACUGAACCAGAUAUGAAGUUGGCAUCCAAGAAGUUACAAAAGAUUCUGCAUUGGGAAGAUUAAGAGGAAGUGAUGAUGUGGUGGAGAUAUACAGUCGUUGUUACGAGAAACAACCUUUGGUUAUCCAAGGUGCUGGAGCAGGAAAUGAUACCACAGCAGCUGCUG